GCAGCUGAUAAGCAGUGCCACCACAUAACAAAUCCACAUCUAACCUAGUUUCUUCAAGUGGGUUAACUGCCUGCGUUUUUUGGGCGGUAUGGGCCUCCUGCUGGUGUUCUGCAAGGACUUCUGUUGAAAUGUUCAGUCAACAUACCCGAAACAAGUUUUAAGCAUGAUCAUAAAUUGGCCAGGGCUAUCGUGGACUUCCAUGCACACCUGAAGGGAAUAAAAACAAUGAGGAGCAUCACAAAACACAGACUGAUUGUGCACAGGUACAGGGCCUUUGGAGUAGUUGUGGAGAGGAAAAGAAGUCUGUGGGUGAUUGUAAAGGUGGACACUUACCUGCCAUGGUGUAGACGCUGCUGUCCAGUGGGUUCUUGGAGGAUAUUGUACAAUCCCUCUGUCUAAAAUUAUAGGACUGCAGCAACUCUCUGAAAUAAUUGUUACAAUCCUGUAUACAUUUACACCCUGAAAUAAAUCAAUUACUUGCUGUCCAUUCAACAUCAGAUUAAAUAUACAAUAUUACUCUUUGGAUGUGUAAUAGGUUUGUAUGUACAUUAACCAAACUGCAAUGAUAGCCCAAAAUAUUCUACCAAUAAAAAUGAAGGCACCCAUAUGAAAUCCUAAAUACUAAGGAAGUCUCUCUACAAGUAUGCAAGCUAAAAGAAAAUAUGUAUUUUAUAAACAUCCUAAAUAAACUUUGUUUGACAAAUGA